AUUUAUAUAAUUCAUAAAUUAGAAUAUUACAUUGAAGCUGUAAAAGAGAUAGCUGAUAUCUGUAAAUA
rnacentral:tRNA from 1 species